rnacentral:lncRNA from 1 species
AACGAGCCCGCGCUCAGACUCCCCAGCUCCGCCGAGAGGACGCUCGCGCUGGGUCCUUCUUCUUCCCCAAGUGCAGGCAGAGCCCCCGGAGUCAUGGCCAGCCCUUCCGGCAGCUCCGAAGCCACUGGCAAGCCCUGAGGUAGGGAUGGCUGGCCCAGGAGGGAGGAGGACGACGUCCCUCCCGAAGAGAAGAGGCUGCGGCUGUUGCUGGAGGGGGGAAGCGCACAGCCCGAGGACUGCGAGGACGGGGAGGACGCGCCGCGGCCGGGCAGGGAGGAGACCGGCACCCAGACAGGUGGCGACGGCAAAGGGGCAGCACGGGCAGCCCUCCUCGCCAUGGGCAGGAUCAGAGCCCCCCCGCCCAGUCUUGGGGUUGCUCCUGGAUGCUGUCUGGGAGGCUUGCUCAUGGUGACAUCCUCAUCUCCCCGUCCACGUUACCGCAUUCAGAGCU